GACGUAGGGUCCAAGCGUUUGUCCGGAUUUACUGGGCGUAAAGAGCGCGUAGGCGGUCUGUUAAGUGUAGAGUGAAAUCUCCAGGGCUCAACCCGGAAACUGCUCUGCAUACUGGGCAGACUUGAGGGAUGCAGAGGUUUGUGGAAUUCCUGGUGUAACGGUGAAAUGUGUUGAUAUCAGGAGGAACACCCAUGGCGAAGGCAGCAAACUGGGCAUCAUCUGACGCUGAGGCGCGAAAGCGUGGGGUAGCAAACAGG
rnacentral:rRNA from 1 species